UACGUAGGGGGCAAGCGUUGUCCGGAUUUAUUGGGCGUAAAGAGCGUGUAGGCGGCCAAACAGGUCCGUUGUGAAAACUGGAGGCUCAACCUCCAGACGUCGACGGAAACCGUAUGGCUAGAGUCCGGAAGAGGAGAGUGGAAUUCCUGGUGUAGCGGUGAAAUGCGCAGAUAUCAGGAAGAACACCCGUGGCGAAGGCGGCUCUCUGGGACGGUACUGACGCUGAGACGCGAAAGCGUGGGGAGCGAACAGG
rnacentral:rRNA from 1 species